AUGCUUUCUAUACUGGAAUCUGAACAUGAUGAGGGAUUGAAGGACAAAGAUGAUGCAUUUAUGAGUGUAGAUGCAGAGGUAGAUGCAGAAGCAGAUGCAGAAGCAGCGGCUGCAGAAGCAGGAGACGAAUCAUUCUUACGUAGCAUCAUUGAAGAUGAAGAUGCCGAAGCAAAAGUUGGUGAAGGUGCCAAUCCAGAAGCUGCUCAAGAUGACAAGCCAAAAGGACGGAAGCAAAUGGCGUCAAGAUCACAAAUCUGGGAGCAUUUUACCAAAGUUUUUGAUAACAAGGGGUUAGUAAAGGAAGGAAAAUGCAAGUAUUGUGACCGACCAAUUCAAGCUACUACAUCAAUCAAUGGAACAACAGCAAUGCGCAGGCACUUUGGUACAUGCAAGCGCAGUCCGAAUAAGAAAAUGGAUCCAAAUCAGACCACUUUGCAAGCAACUCCAGGAGAUGGCAUUAAUACUUGGAGAUAUGAUGCAGAAAAAGUUAGGAAGGCAUUUGCUGUGAUGGUCAUAGAGGAUGAACUGCCUUUUGCAUUUGGUGAGAAAUCUGGAUUCAGAAAGUUCAUUUCAAUCGCUUGCCCCCGCUUUACUCCACCAUCAAGAAGAACUUGUACUAGGGACACUGUCAAAAUCUAUCUAGAUGAGAAAUGCAAGUUGAAAAAGUUUUUCAAAGAGAAUUGUGGAAGUGUGUGUGUAACCACUGAUUGUUGGACUUCUCAGCAGCAAGAUGGCUAUAUGGUAGUGACUGCACACUUUGUUGAUGAAGAGUGGAAGUAUCAUAAGAAGAUUAUUAAUUUCAUUAUGGUGAAGGGCCACAAAGGGAAGGAUCUUGGGAAGAACUUGCAGAGAUGUUUGAUGGAAUGGGGGCUAGAGAGAGUUAUGACAGUCACCGUGGAUAAUGCAAGCAAUAAUGAUGGCUGCAUUGUUCACUUGAGAAAGUGA
rnacentral:rRNA from 1 species